UACGGGGGGGGCGAGCGUUGUUCGGAAUUACUGGGCGUAAAGGGCUCGUAGGCGGCCAACUAAGUCAGACGUGAAAUCCCCAGGCUUAACCUGGGAACUGCGUCUGAUACUGGAUGGCUUGAGAUUGGGAGAGGGAUGCGGAAUUCCAGGUGUAGCGGUGAAAUGCGUAGAUAUCUGGAGGAACACCGGUGGCGAAGGCGACAUCCUGGACCAACACUGACGCUGAGGAGCGAAAGCCAGGGGAGCAAACGGG
rnacentral:rRNA from 1 species